UACCAACGUGUGCUCUGAAUGUUGUGCAAAAGAAAGUUGCCUGCACUUUAAUGAUCCCCCCUGUCAGCACACAUGAACCAAUUUGGCAACCCAAAUAAUGACGUUACACCAUUUAGCAACGAUUGGUCAACAUAAUUGCAUCUGAGUCUGGCACGGUGUGCAUUUACGAGCGCAUUUUGUUUCAAUAAAGUUGGGGAAAAGAAAAAAAAACAGCACAUUUUGUCACGCUGAUCAAAGCGACAACAAGAAAACGUCAUGCCUCAGAGACUUUAUCCACCACCAGGAGCUAAAAAAAGAUAAAGAACUUCAACAUCAAUCACAAGUUCCGUCUCAGCCGACAGUUUCUUCUGCUCUCAAAAAGCAUCAAAAGUAUUGGAGGUGGUGCAGCGUCCACAUCCCAAGAUGUUCCUGACUUCACUGAAGAUUUCAUCUCAGGGGCUCCAAGAGAGGCGUAUAUGGAAGAGGAGCCGACUGGAUCCAAAAUUCCAC